CAAAUGUUUCCUCUCGUGCCUUGUUCACUUCAUCUCUUUUCAAGUCUCUCUCAAUUCUUAGUGAGGUGUUCUUAGCUAUUUGCUCCAAUAAUUGUAUACAUUCAUUGUUCGAAGUGCCCCCUUUCUUGGCCUUUGCCGCCUUUCUCCCAAUCGGUCUCGGCGGACGUGGGAGUGGUGACUCCGUUUUCAUUGGGGAGUCCAAUGGCGAAUCGGUUGAUGGUGAAUCGUGGAGUGACGUCUCAUUCAACACAACUGAAGGACCGGUGGGAAUAAUUUUGAAUCUCGAACAAUCCUUCACAACUUCCCAACAUUGGGCAUGGCACCGAACCACAUUUGUGCUUGUAUGAUCUAUUAAAAAUAAAUAAUUGAAAGUGCAAGAAAAAAAAAUUAUUAUGCAAGAACAUUAUACUAAUUUGAAAUGCAACAAUAAAAUUAAUUAUGCAAGAAAAUAUAGACAAAUUGGACAUGCAAAAAGAAAAAAAAAAUUAUGCAAGAAAAAG
rnacentral:lncRNA from 1 species